rnacentral:rRNA from 1 species
UACGGAGGGGCAAGCGUUGUUCGGAAUUACUGGGCGUAAAGGGCGCGCAGGCGGCUGCUCAAGUCAGGCGUGAAAGGCCUGGCUCAACCCGGGAAUUGCGCUUGAGACUGGGCUGGCUUGAGUGCGGGAGAGGAUGGUGGGAAUUCCGAGUGUAGAGGUGAAAUUCGUAGAUAUUGGAAGAACACCGGUGGCGAAGGCGGCCAUCUGGACCGCAACUGACGCUGAGGCGCGAAAGCGUGGGGAGCAACAGGGAUU